CGCUGAACUUAAGCAUAUCAAUAAGCGGAGGAAAAGAAACCAACAGGGAUUGCCCUAGUAACGGCGAGUGAAGCGGCAACAGCUCAAAUUUGAAAUCUGGCCCUAGCGGUCCGAGUUGUAAUUUGUAGAGGAUGCUUUUGGUUAGGUGCCUUCUGAGUUCCCUGGAACGGGACGCCAGAGAGGGUGAGAGCCCCGUACGGUUGGACACCGAGCCUCUAUAUAGCUCCUUCGACGAGUCGAGUAGUUUGGGAAUGCUGCUCUAAAUGGGAGGUAAAUUUCUUCUAAAGCUAAAUACCGGCCAGAGACCGAUAGCGCACAAGUAGAGUGAUCGAAAGAUGAAAAGUACUUUGAAAAGAGGGUUAAAUAGCACGUGAAAUUGUUGAAAGGGAAGCGUUUGCGACCAGACUUUUUCCAGGCGGAUCAUCCGGUGUUCUCACCGGUGCACUUCGCCUGGUUUAGGCCAGCAUCGGUUCUCUUAGGGGGAUAAAGGCCUGGGGAACGUAGCUCCUUCGGGAGUGUUAUAGCCCCUAGCGUAAUACCCUUCGGGGGACCGAGGAACGCG
rnacentral:rRNA from 1 species